AACUCCUGCGGAUAGAUUUGCAUCCCCCUGGAACAUUGCUGAUCUUUUGGCAGAUGGAAAAUAGAGUGUGGUGAUCACCCUGAAAUUACUGCUGGGGAGUGAAGUACCUAACUUGUGCCUGCAUCUUAUUGGCCAGAGUCCAAUAUCAAUGAGAUGGGGAAGUUUAAUUCUCCCUUCGGAAGAACGGCAGGACCCUGAAUCUGUUUCCUAGGUCAGAGCCCCUGCAUGACAGUUGGUGUAGUUGGCAGGAAGUUCGACAGGAUGUUUGGCAGGUGAGAGAUUCCUCAACCUGGAUGAACAGGAGGGAACUCUGGCCCCCAAGCAGCAUGUAUCACUCGGU
rnacentral:lncRNA from 1 species